rnacentral:rRNA from 1 species
AUUGAACGCUGGCGGAAUGCUUUACACAUGCAAGUCGAACGGCAGCACGGACUUCGGUCUGGUGGCGAGUGGCGAACGGGUGAGUAAUGUAUCGGAACGUAUCCAAUAAUGGGGGAUAACUAGUCGAAAGAUUAGCUAAUACCGCAUACGCCCUACGGGGGAAAGCUAGGGACCUUCGGGCCUGGCGUUAAUGGAGCGGCCGAUAUCUGAUUAGCUAGUUGGUGAGGUAAAAGCUCACCAAGGCGACGAUCAGUAGCUGGUCUGAGAGGACGACCAGCCACACUGGAACGGAGACACGGUCCAGACUCCUACGGGAGGCAGCAGUGGGGAAUUUUGGACAAUGGGCGAAAGCCUGAUCCAGCCAUUCCGCGUGAGUGAAGAAGGCCUUCGGGUUGUAAAGCUCUUUCGCAAGAGAAGAAAACUUACCCUCUAACAUAGGGUGAGGCUGACGGUAUCUUGAUAAGAAGCACCGGCUAACUACGCGCCAGCCGCCGCGGUAA